ACUAAUUUUUUCUAUAUGGUUCAUGAUUUUUUUAUGCCACUAUUAUGUUUCUUGAUGAUCUCAAAUUUGGCUUUAUAAAGGGAAAUCUCUCAAAAUGUUAUGUGAUAUAAAUCACUUGUAUAAACUGUAUGAAUCACCUCAACGAUUGUGAGUCGUCGUACAUUUUAGACGAGUAAUUUGUGCGCAUUCACCUUUCAACAUUUUUUUAAACAAUUUUGAAAGGUCUGGUUCCAUUUUUAGUUACUUCUUUUAUUUUGGAUCUGUGCAAAUUGCCACCUAAAAUAUGACUUAUGGUGAAAAGAAAAGAGUUAUACUUCUCCUACCUUUGCCUUUAAAGUCUGCUCUACUAGAGGUCUCAUUUUGCUCUGGUUCCCAGGCUUACCACUGGGUAGAUUAAGACCCAGUUGAUAGAGGAUGUUGUCGUCCUUUUCUGUAAUCUUUUUCUGUUCUGUUCGUUUCGUUGCAUAUGUGAGUAUUUUCCUGUAUAUUAAAGGUGUUAGUCUUUUAGAUUUAUAUUUAAAUUAUAUCUUAUACCUUAUAAAAAAUAUGUAUAUUAAAUUAAAUGUCGAUUCUGCAAGUUAUUUCAAGUGCAUAUUAGUGCGAAAACACUUGGGCUUUAAACAAUUACCUGAUUUCCUUAAUUUGGCAUUGUAGAGAUGGGUAAUUUUACCUGUUUGUUAGGGACAUUUCUUCAUUCUUUGUGAAAUUAUUGUAUCUUCUGCACCACAUUGUAAAAGAAUAG